CCGAAAGUAGGAAUGACCUCCAAACCUUCAGCUUCCUGCGUUAAUGAGAAUAAAGAAAAAGAAACACACAAGAGGACAUCAUGUCUUUCCAGAAAAGGACCAUAAUGAUGCUGAUGCCGCCGUGCUGUGGAGAAUCUUCAGAGCUCGUAUCAGUGUGUUAAUCAAAUACAUGGAGCUGCGUCUCUGUGCAACUAGGCUGCAAAUACAGUUAUAGCAACAGCUCAUAUACAACUAGUCUGCCAUUAAACCUUUGCAUAAAAACAGCAGGUUUGAAUGUGUUUUAUAGUCUCUAAAUAUAAUGAUAUUUGUGUUAUUUAUCUGCUUUUUGAGAGUCAUUUCUGAAAAAUUAGUAAAAAUAAUUUAUGAUUUAUGACCCAGCUUCCUCUUGAUAAAUGAAUAUUGACUUUGUGCUUUGUUGUUGAUUAUUUGUGAUGUAUUUAGUAUUCGGAUGAAGGCAUUUCAAAUCAAAAUGUUGAAAGGCUUCUGUCAUUCACUUACACAUGGUUAAUUUAUUCAUACGACAUUUGAGAUUAUCAAAGCGAUCUGAAUGACAUGUUUUGUUUUUUACUCAAUUAAAUAAAUGUUAGAGAAAUAUGA